CCUCACGCUCUAGCCUACCCCUUUCAAGGACUCACGAAAACGACCAGCUUGCUUGCCUGGGUCUCUCUUUCUUUCACCAGUCUGAAAAAGCAAUGAAGAUAAAUGUCAACUAGGGAAAGCUCGGGGAAAAAAAAGACUAUGUAACAAAAUGAAGGGGCUAUUGGAGGCUGCGAAGGAAUAAGACAUUUUUAAUUUCUUCAGAGAGCUCAGCCGUGGAAAAUGAAGCCCGUUCUGCCUUCUGAUGGCCUUCAGGAAUGUCUGAAACCAAGCACUGAACUGGAUGGCAAGGAGAGAGAAGAGUGAGAACAGAACUUUCCCUUGGGUGUAACUCAAAGGAAUGAGAAACUCCCAACACGAGUCAAGGAAACCCUUCCUCAUGGCAUUCUUCUGCCUGAACUUGCUGAUCUAGCUUACCCUCCCUUGACACCAAAUCACUAGUACUUAGGACAUGUCAGGCACUCUCCAGGAGGUACUGUGGGUAAGCCAAACCCUCCCGCCUAGAUGGAGAAACAUGCCUAGACGGAGACACGUUCUUCAGGGAGAAGAAUGAGCAAGGGGAUGGAGCAAGUGGCAUCUGAGGUGGGAAUAAUUGUUCACACUGAGCAGUUCUAGACAGUCAAAACAGGUCACGCAACCACGAUAAGAAGCCGCUAAUCUUGAUACCCAGUCGGACUCAAAGAGACACGUGGAAGUGGAGCCUGGAAUUCCGGGUACAUGUAGCAGAGACUAUGAUGAGAUUGGGCCUUGAAGAAGCAGGCUUCAGAAAGCUGACUCUGAGGUGACUCCAGAGGCAAAUAGAGUUGAGAAUUCAUCAUCGUGAAUGUGAUUUUUUUCAUAACUAUUAUUUGUGCUGGAAAUUACCUUGGGUUUGUUCCCAUCAUUACUUUUGCUCUAAGGACCCAGCUCUGUCAAGCCUCAACUCUACCAUGUGAUGUGAAGGAUGCCCAAAGCUUCCUCCAGUCCCUGAGAACUGGUCCUGCCCAACCAACCAUACUUGAUGACUAAUUCUCUAAACUCCAUGCAUCUACAGUUAGCUCAGAAUAAGAACCCACACUGUUUUAUUUAUUGGUCUAUAGACAUAUGACCUUUACAGAAACCUGUGCAUUAGACUUUCCUGAGGGAAACCUAUGAGUUGAGUUUGUAUUCAUCCCACUAACUAGAAGAGGACUGGAACCUGAAAAUCAUUUCCUCUGCUCCUUAAGGGAUCUUACCAACACAAACUAAACAGAAUUAAGUCUUGGGCCUGCUGGAGUCCUUACAGGAAUGUAGUCUGGGUUCUAAAGAAACUCCUGGACAUGGAGGAACUCAACACAGUGAGAGCAGGGGUCAAUGGGUGGUAGUUAGGGCUUAGGAUUGCCCUAAGAGGAGGAGAAACUAGAGGAUCAUUUAUCCAAUGUGAGAAGGCCUCUGAUUUGGGUGCACCCAAAGUCUUGUGGAACAUGCUAGUCCAUGGCCUCUUCUAGACAUCCUUCUUCUGACUGCCUUCAGUGAGCCCCAAAAGAAGCUCCAUCACUGUGUGAUUGUAAGUGAUUCUAAGGUCAACAAGUACAAUAGCCCUAGUCCCUGGAGUUGCCUGGCUUGAGAGAGUGUUAGAGCUGGGAAGCUCCAGCCAAGAUCAAAAGGACUUAUCUGUGGUCUCAGAGGCCUGGAGACACUGUGAGGCUUCUGUCUAGCUCUCCUACUCUGUAGAAGAGUGCUUUCUCUCCCAGCCCACAGGCAGCCACCUGUGACUGGGCCUCUCCUUUAGCAUAGGAACCAAGAUGCCAGGUCCUUAAUGAGGUUGUCCACACUAGAAUUUAUGAGGCUCAAAGCCUUCAGAAGGACUGGUUUCUGCCAACCUUAAUUUACACAGUUCACAAGCUUUCCAACACCCCCAUUAAAGUCAGCAAGGAUGCUGCUCCUGUUGGCCUGUACACAUGAUUUGACUCCAUCCUCGUCAUGUCACCAUUCAUUUUCAUGUCUCUUGGCUUGUUUAGCCCUAAGCACCUGGCUCUCCUGUCCCUGGGAAAUAUUUAGUUUCUACCAGGCAGGUGGGAGCCAAGCCCAGCCCUGGACUCCAGCUCUAGCCCAGGCCUUCCUGCAAAUCCUCUAUAUUAAAAGCUCGUCCACACAUCAUCUCCAAUGUGAUUUAAGAGCAAGACCCCUUCUCACCCAAGCAGCUCUCAGUCCCCACCCCUGUAAUGGGUGCCAUCAGUUCAGCAAGAGCGAGCCGGUAGGAGAUGGCCAGAAAACUAAGACACGUGUGCCUUUUUGAAAUGCCACAUAAAUCCCCUUAAUUAAAAAUUAAUUAAGAGCCCUAAAAUUUGACACUCAUUUAAAAAAGAAAUUUGAGUUAGAGAGUUGUGUAGAUUUCAUAGCAUCUAAUCUCUAGGACACAAAUGAAGGAGGGGGAGUGUGUGUGUGUGUGUGUGUGUGUGUGUGUGUGUGUGUGUGUGUGUACGCGCGCGCGCGUGCUUCUGUUUCAAAUGCAGUCAGGGGAGGAUUCAUUCCCAUCGAGUGAACCCAAUAAGUCACCCACAGUGUAGAACAGCGAUUCAUGGAACUUGACCUGGACCACACGUGUUGCUGAUGCAAAUCUAAACUAAUUUCUGCAGCAUCCACUGAGAAGAUAAAUAGACAAACAAAUGUGCCAUGCUGUUUCAGAAGAGAUGUUCCAAGAUGCAAAUGAUGGAUGACUGGGACAGGAAAUGCCAAUGUGAGGCCAUCUUGCUGGGUGAGCAGCUUAGCAGAAGGCUUCAAGGGAGAGCCAUCGACAAUGGUGGGCAUUAAUCAAGUUGGCACUAAUGAUAGCAAAUCCAUCUCAUCAACAUGUAGCCAUCAGCGCCAUUGCUUAGAACCCAGUCAGGAGAUCGUGGACAGAAAGAGGCUUUGAGAGAAGACUUGAGGUCAACACUCUAGUGUGCCAGAGGACAGUGGUAGCAUAGAGACAAAGGACCUAUCCAAGAUUCACAGAUAUUAACCUUCAGAUUCCUCCGGGCCUCCAAGGUCAUGCCACUCAACUGUGUGCCCCUGGAAACAUCCAGGGGUCUUUGAGCAGUGCCAGUGCCAAGGACAUCUUCUCCAGAGAUACUGAUGGCAUUGGCCCUGGUGACGCAUGAACACCAAUGCUGUUUUGUACCUGCCUGACAACUGACUCCCGUGGACAUCAGGGCACUGCUUCUGGCAGAUGAUCUGUCAUGAGUCAUAGGACAAGAUGUUACUAGAGGACCAUCUGGCCAAGUUCUGGGUCCUUAUCUUUGGGCUACUAGCUGUGAAUCUCAGGCAAAACACCCCAGUAAGCAACUAGCCACAUGUUUUACUGUUUAAAAAGCAACAAGCAUUGCCCGGGCUCUAAAAUCCCUGGUUCUUCUGAUUAAUCAAGUGGGGAUAAUAACUGUUCGACCAGGUUUUUAUGAGCUUCAGACAAAGCAGGCUCAAGGAAGCACAUUGCAGGCUAUUAAAAUGCUCCGCAAAA